rnacentral:lncRNA from 10 species
UGGGGGCGGCAAGCAUGGGACGGCAAAUGACUGUGCGUGGCUGGUUGCAGGCAGGUGACUCUGUGGGAUUGUGUGUGACUGUGCCUGGGACACUGCGUGGCUGUGUGCAGGCAACACCAUGAGGGACUGUGUGGACGCUGCUGUGGAAAUUGCAUGACUGUGCCUGUGACACUGCGAUGGGACUGGGCGUGAGCAGAGUGAUCCUGGGUGGAUUCCUCACCCUGCUGAGAAUGUGAGGUGGGACGACUUUGAAGAUGUGUGGAGACAGCAUGGAAGAAGAGCUAGAUCACUAGCCAGAUAAUUCCAGAUUCAAGUUCCAGCUCUACUGCCACGUGCACUUGGACAAGAUGCUCUGUAUCACCGAUCUUCAGUCUCUGAAUCUGCAAAAUGGGUGGAUUAGUCCACUUUCA